GAAAGGGAGAGAUAAGAGAAGAGAGUUGGGAAAAGAGAGAGAGACAGAAGCCAGUGUGUAAGUAAGAGAGACGCGUGAAAGCCGCUGAUACAGUGUGCAAAGGAGGGGACAAGGUGAAGAGGAGGAUACUCGACUCAGUAGCUUCUUGGUAAAAUUAUGAAACAAUGUAUCCAAGAAGAAAACAUGGGUAUAGCGUCAAAGUUUAGAAAAAAGAAAUUCGAAAAUUUAAUACAAUUGUAAAAAUUGUUUUUAAUUUAUUAUUUAAUUUAAAUGUAAAUUUACGUAUGAAUGUAAAAACGAUCGAAUAUAAUAUAAGCAUGAUAAAGCAAGACAAAAAGGAAAUUUAAAAAAAUGUAUGAAAACGAACAAAAAUAUUUUAAUUAAGUAUAUAUGUAUUAUAGUAAAAUAUUGUAAUUAUGUAUGUAUGUAUGUAUAACGUAUAUAAUUAUGUAUAUUAAUAUUGUCGUGUAUAGGAGACUAUCUGUAAUUAGGAUAUCAAUGUAUGCACAAAUAUUUUUCGCUGUAUGUGUUAAAGUAACAAAAAUUAUGCAUUUUGGCAAAUCUAAAAUUUAUAACAUUAAUUUUUAAUAAUCUCAAAAAUAUUUUAUCGCUAUGUAUUCAUAAACUGUAUUAGUAUAAAACUAAAUGACGAUUACAGUCGAUUAAUAGUUAAUAAUAUCAGCUUGAAUAGCUUUUGCAGUCUUUAUGUUGUACUGAACAUAUUAUUCAGAAAAAUAAAAGUGUAUUAAUGAAAAGAAGUUCUCGUUUACCCUGCUGCAGCGGGUAUUUUUUGUGAAGGCUUGAGAAGGGAAUCGAACGACUGUGUUUCCCCUCUCUUGAUUACGCCACUGGCUCGACCCAGCGAGGCAGCACGGACAACCGGGUGCGCUGUUGCCAAGCGGAAAUCACAGACCUACGGCAUUUUCUUCUUCCACGAAAAGGAAGACGAAGACAUGUUCGUUUGCCGUGUUGCCUUCUGCAUCAACCAAGCUCAAAAACAACCAUCUCCAUAAUUGUGCGUCAAUUUAUUAAUCUUAUUUAACAAUACUAUCCUCAAUAUAAACUGCCAGUAGUAUCGAUCGAUGUAGUAAACUAUCUGUACGUCAUCUGUACUACCAUCACCAUCACUAACGUUAAUCAACGUUAAAAAAUAUUUUUGUCGAUUAGUCCAUGUCCUUUUCAGACACAGCGAGAUACUGCCUCAGAAGUGAAACGCGUGCCUUUUAAAGUAACAGAUUAAAUAUACGCUUUUGCUUAAAAAAGGAAGUAUGUUCUGACGAUAUCCAACUUAACGACCUCGAAAAAAUCACGUAAAUCACGGUUUUAUAAAAUCUCUUCGUGAUGAUUUUCAAGUAAAGGAAAAUUAAAGCAACAAUUGUACACUAUAAAAAGAAGAGCUUGUACGUGAGUGCUUAUUCCCUGUUAAUGUCGUUAGCGUAUCGAGACAAGAAUAUCGAUGGAGCAAUACCACAGUGGUCAGUUUCGACAAAUCCAUGUUGAAAAAAAAGUCAAUAUGAAAUGGAGGUCGAUAGCGUGAUGACCUCGAAGCCAAUCGGGAAUUUUACAAUGCCGUGGCCUCUCGCACGAAAGAUACAUGCUCAUGGUAUAUAUAUAAGGAUGCUCUGUUGCCACGUCUUGAUUCAGUAUAGACUACAAACCAAUAAAAUAAGUUUUCCUCAUGAAUCCUUGGCUUUACGCUGCACUAUUGAUAAAUCUUAAGGCAACGUCAACGAUAUGAGCAUAUCUCUUUAUUUUACGUGAACCACUCGCUUUAGUCCUCUCAUGAGGCGAUCAAAAUUAAUAUGUAUUAUUAUAUGUUUGUUGUUAUUAUAUAUAUUAAAUACAUACUAUGUAUGUAUAUUCAAUUUGGAUUAUCCGCGACCAGACCAACUAUUAAUCAAUAAUUAAACUUGUAACAUUAAAAAUUGAAUAGCUUUGGUAGGAAAAAUUAAUUACAAUUUAUUUCAUUUAAAGAAUUACACAAUAAAAAUAUACUUAACUUAAGAAGAUUUUUUUCUUAGGUGUUCUCAAUUGCAUACAUGUGACUUAAGAAUACAAACUACAACGCGAAUAACGACUAUCAACAGGUUUAAGGACUGGUGCAAAUAAAUGCUGCAACAUGGCAUGGUUACGAUUCCGCAUUAGUGACACUGUACGUUUUAGCAGAUUUAUAUUUCAAUAAGAGAAUCAUUCACUUGUUUGUAUUGCACCAUUCGAAGGAUGAAUCUUCUUCAAAUU